AGAGUUGACCAGGCAAUCGCUAUUACUUUUAUAAAAGAAUAAUAGAGGAAAGUCCGGGCUCCUUCGAACAAAGUGCCAGGUAAUACCUGGAGAGUGCAAACUCAUGGAAAGUGCCACAGAAAAUAUACCGCCUAAGCAUUUUAUGCCGGUAAGGUUGAAAAGGUGCGGUAAGAGCGCACCGCUUGAAUGGUAACAUUUAUGGCAGGGUAAACCCCACUUGGAGCAAGACCAAAUAGAGGAGUUAUUGAUUUUAAUCAAAUCGUGUGUUUCGAGCGAACUCCCGGGUAGGUUGCUAGAGGUAGUUGGUGACAACUAUCCCAGAUGAAUGAUUGUCCAUGACAGAACCCGGCU
rnacentral:RNase_P_RNA from 1 species